UACGUAGGGGGCAAGCGUUGUCCGGAUUCAUUGGGCGUAAAGAGCGUGUAGGCGGCCAGGUAGGUCGGUUGUGAAAACCCGGAGCUCAACUCCGGGCCUGCAGUCGAUACGGGCAAACUGGAGUACUGCAGGGGAGACUGGAAUUCCUGGUGUAGCGGUGAAAUGCGUAGAGAUCGGGAGGAACACCUGUGGCGAAGGCGGCUCGCUGGGCCGGUCCUGACGCUGAAACGCGAAGGCGUGGGGAGCGAACGGG
rnacentral:rRNA from 1 species